rnacentral:tRNA from 1 species
GGGGCGGUAGCUCAACUGGGAGAGCAACAGGCUGUCAACCUGUUGGUUGCGGGUUCGAGUCCCGUCCGCUCCA